UUGCUGUGGAGAAAACCUCAAAUUUCUCAGAUUUAAUCAGCAUCGUUAGUGCCAGGUGGAAUAUAGUGGUACCGGGAAUCGUUUACUCGGGAAAAGUUUCGGGAGCAACAAUCGUAACAAAAAGGUCGCGUCGAGUACACUGAUUCAAAAGUGUAAUACUUUGAAAAGUAAAUAGUCCGAAUUCACAACAAACAAAUUUGUCGGCGUGUCGCCCACUGCGCAGAACGAGGCACGAGGCAGUUGUGAACCAAAGAAGGAACGAUAGUCAACGGUGGAAUUCCAGAUCCAACAUAUCGCCGGGACUAUCGACGAUCCUCAAGCGACUGGUCCUCGAGCCUCUGGAACCGAACGCACGAGCAGUCACGGCCAAGGAAGCGCUCCAAGUAUCUAACACCCGAGAAGAUUUUAAAAGGAUCCAUUCUGGCACCAGACCCCUUGGCGGACACUGCGAAUUUGUCAGACAAAAGAGCCUUCUCAGGAAG